rnacentral:rRNA from 1 species
AACGCGAAGAACCUUACCAGGUCUUGACAUCCUCUGACACUCCUAGAGAUAGGACGUUCCCCUUCGGGGGACAGAGUGACAGGUGGUGCAUGGUUGUCGUCAGCUCGUGUCGUGAGAUGUUGGGUUAAGUCCCGCAACGAGCGCAACCCUUGAUCUUAGUUGCCAGCAUUCAGUUGGGCACUCUAAGGUGACUGCCGGUGACAAACCGGAGGAAGGUGGGGAUGACGUCAAAUCAUCAUGCCCCUUAUGACCUGGGCUACACACGUGCUACAAUGGAUGGUACAAAGGGCUGCAAGACCGCGAGGUUUAGCCAAUCCCAUAAAACCAUUCUCAGUUCGGAUUGUAGGCUGCAACUCGCCUACAUGAAGCCGGAAUCGCUAGUAAUCGCGGAUCAGCAUGCCGCGGUGAAUACGUUCCCGGGCCUUGUA